rnacentral:tRNA from 1 species
ACAUGGGUGGUUCAUUGUUAGAAUUCUCACCUUCCAUGUGGGAGACCCAAGUUCAAUUCCUGGCCAGUGCA